rnacentral:misc_RNA from 1 species
GUGAUUAAAUCGAGCGUGGUCCUUCAUUGACCGCUCACCCUUCUCACCAUCCACAUACAACCUGUGCACUGUUUUAGCCUGAAGCCGGUUUUUUCCGGUCCAGGUUUAUCAUUUCAUACAAAACUCUAGUUCCUUAUGAAUGUAAAACGUUUUUAAUAAACAUAAUAAA